rnacentral:rRNA from 1 species
AUGAACAAAAUUUUGCCCCAAGUUCACUUCUGGUCCUUCAGUUUUUCAAACUGUCGCAGUUCAGGUUUGGACUCCCCAGGAUUUUGGCUAAUAUACCGUCAAUGUGAGCUGUUUUAUUUUUUGUUGACAGGGUCUAUGUCAGCUGGUUUUAUCGAUGUAGUCGCCACAGACAAGAGAAUUCCUCACAGCCUCUUCUUGACGCCGCCGUCCUCGGAUGCGCCGUCCGACGAUGAUGCCGAUCAGUCGAAGCUGUCUGAGCCGUUGCAAUUGCAGCAUCCCCUUGACGUGUCUGCCUUGUCUUCUUUCGCUCGAAUCCCUGAUGCCCUUGUUGUGUUGAGGCGCUGCUGGGUUUUUCUCGUGCCGGUGGAUUGUCUUGAUCAAGGGGGCCGCCAUUGUCAAGCUGAGCGUGUCCGUCGUUGA